AAUAAAAAUAAGAGUUCAAUAAUAUUUUUUUUAGUAUAUUGAAAUUACAG
rnacentral:tRNA from 1 species